UCAUUAGAGAAUCCAAUAUAAUUUUUGUCUUCUUAUAAUUGAGUUCCACAUCCAAGGAAAGCCCAACUCUAGAACAGCAGUCAUCCGAAGCUUUUGCACAAGGAUUAGAAGAUGAGGAUUUGACUCGCUGCCACCGAUCACAAUCCGUCAUCCGUCUCCGAUCGUCCAACAGGGGUCGUGUUCAACUUAUUCUCAGACCAAAGAGAGACCCUCAUAACAACCAGGAACCAAUCACGGCUUCCUUUCGCCACGCCAUUUGUCUCGCGAGGCUUCGCUAUAGGUGUGGUCUUUCUCGCUGCUGUUUCGCCCCCAACCGCCAUGUGCGAGUUAAUAUGCGGUGGCUUUGGUGAUGGCAUCCGCACCUUCGCCGUCCUUGCCUUCGCCACCAUUGCCACUCCAUCGGACGUUCUCUAUCUCCCCUUCACGGCAAAGUUGUCCUCGACUCCCUCGCCGCGGCUCCUGGCUUUGUUGUCGUCGUCGAAUUGCCUCAGAUCUCGGUCGUAUUCGUCCCUCCCUGUCACAGAGGUGUCGUCCUUGCGCCGAUGGAAACUCUGCCGUUUUGCUUAUCUUCGUCAUCCGUGAUGGGCGUCCACGGAUCCGGCGGCUUCGGUGAUGGAAACUGUUGUUCGUCCUCCCUUCCUUCAUUGUGAUUUGUCCUCAAAUCUCUUCUGUGCACCAUCGCAGAUUCGAACCACUAUCGAUCUCCUUCGGUCCACACAGUAUCGCUACCACCAGGUUUGUUUGUAAUUUCUUCAUCGUUCUUAUUUGUAAGUUUUGGAAUUGCACUAUAAUCAUUUGCCUCUAGAAAUGCUGGAUCUGUUGUGGUUGAAAUCUUUGGAAAUGAGUUUUCAAAUCUAUGUCCUGCUGUUGUUGAAUUGUUGUGUGGUUGAUAUCUGAAUUUGGACAUUACUUCUUCUAAAUCAAUUUUUCAAUCUGAAAUGUUGUUUUGAGCAAUUUCUGGUGAUACUAGUUGGAAAUCUAGUUGGAAUCGAUGCAGGAACACCAAUCUGCUACUGGAUUGCGCUGCCGCCAGUGUUGGAACCAUGUUAGAUCGCGAUCGAUCACUGUCCCGAUGAACUUUUGAAAACGUUGAGCUUCAGAUGUUCCUUUGGCAUUCCACAGCUUCCAAACACAAAGAAUUUACCAAUAGCCAUUCUCACCUUCGAACAUUGGAAGAUCAUCAUACCAAAGAGUGUGGCUUGAAUCCGAACCACUAUGGGACGUGGUGAUCAUCGUCAGCAUGGUGUUCAAUAAAAUUACUACUUGAUAUGAUAUUCUAUCAAGAGAUAGAUAGAAUUAGAGUCCCUAGAAUUAGGGCCACGAGAGAAAUUAGAAUUUCUAAUUAGUACAUGGCACUACUAACCUCUAUCAAGUAUAAGAGCGAUUUUGCUGGGAGUUGAUUUCAUGUUUAAUAUAACUUUAGAGGGUGCCAGGUUCUCCUUCCUCUUAGGCGAAGGAACUUAGCUUUAGGGCAAUUUGUAUCCUAGCAAACUUUGAAAAUUCCAUAUUUAUGUUAACUUUACUACAUUGCGUGGGUCUUAUUUUGAAUUAAUAUUGUUAUAAUAGAAUAUAAAAUAGGGAGAAAACUAUUAACAGAAUACAACUUGAACAGUCAAUGACUUUAUAACCUCUCGCAGAUUUACACUUCUCAGACUCUUCUGUAGCUACUAAUGUGACUUCCUUCAAUUUCUGUGAUGUUCAUUUGGGCUCAGCCUCUAGACUUUUUUACCAGUUUGUGCUAUUAUCGGGGGAAUCCUUGGACAGGAGGUUAUCAAGGCAAUAUCUGGGAAAGGAGAUCCUCUCAACAAGUCUUUUUUUUUUUUUAUGCUUUUUUGAUGGGAAGGGAAUUAUAGAGAACACUUCCAAUUCUAAUGCUUGAAGGUGAAUAUGACAUAUCCUGGUACUUUAUGGUUGAAGCACCACACACCCUAAGAGUGGAAGGUUAACACUGUCCGGAAGAAACAUAUCCUUGGUUAUUGUUAGCUAUUAAUUUAUAUUUUUAGUUGCUAAUUUAUUUAGGCUAAUUUUCAAUUUACUUUUCUUGCUGUAGUAGACACAAAUGAAACGAUUAUUUGUUGUGGACAUUGGGCAAUCUAUAAGCAUGUUAUGGUUGAAGUCUUUUCUUUA